GAGUCUGCCCUUCAGCAGCCCCCAAGGAAGCCACCAGCUGGUGGUCAGGCAGUUGCAUUGAGAGAAGGGAGGCUCAGCACAUGCUAUCUUCAGCCACAUCAGAGACCACUCUUUCUGCAGAAUAUAGAAUAAUAUAGAUCUUUGUGUUGAUAUAGUACUCAGAAAAUUCUUCCAAGUCUCGUAACUCCUGUGAUUUAUAGCUUAUCUCUGCCUCAAAAAGUAUGCGGGAGAACUGGAGAAGAUUCAGAGAAGGUCAACAAGGAUGA